GAACGCGAAGAACCUUACCUGGUCUUGACAUGUACGGAAUCCUCCAGAGACGGAGGAGUGCCUUCGGGAGCCGUAACACAGGUGCUGCAUGGCUGUCGUCAGCUCGUGUCGUGAGAUGUUGGGUUAAGUCCCGCAACGAGCGCAACCCUUGUCAUUAGUUGCCAUCAUUUAGUUGGGCACUCUAAUGAGACUGCCGGUGACAAGCCGGAGGAAGGUGGGGAUGACGUCAAGUCCUCAUGGCCCUUAUGACCAGGGCUUCACACGUCAUACAAUGGUCGGUACAGAGGGUAGCCAAGCCGCGAGGUGGAGCCAAUCUCACUAAAACCGAUCGUAGUCCGGAUUGCACUCUGCAACUCGAGUGCAUGAAGUCGGAAUCGCUAGUAAUCGCAGGUCAGCAUACUGCGGUGAAUACGUUCCCGGGUCUUGUACACACC
rnacentral:rRNA from 1 species